rnacentral:lncRNA from 10 species
UCUGGGUGGUCCCCUGGGCACACAGGUGCAGUAGCUGUGCACACGUCUCUUUAGCAUCUUAAGUCUCCACCCAGGGGUGUGUUUUUUACUAUUAUAACGAGCAAAGGGUCAGUUUGUGAACAGGUAAAAUCACAAUGCUCAUGUUCUCUACAGGGAAAACUCCCUUUUGUAGAUGGUUUUGUGUGAAUGAACUCAAUUAGAAAGUGAAGGCUGGGGCUGAUUGUGUUGGCUGUACGGUCCCCAUGGGUGCUGCGUUUGGAGGACAUGGUCACCUUCUUGACUACCUAUCCUGACUCACCCAGGUCCAUUUAGGAGAAAGAGUCCUUGAGGUAGAAACCUGAAUCCGCCAUCAAAUGUACACAGACUCCCGUUUAAUUCAAGAAGUGGAUGUUUGUUUAGUGGCAUUUGGUGCAUUUACACUGCUGUGCGGCAGCUCCUCUAGCUGGUUCCUGUGCCUGCAUGUCCAGAGUCCAAGUUCUGACAUUUGUACAUACUCAUGAAGUCAUUGCCGUCAUCAAGAAGCUGAACAUCCCCACCAUCCUCCAACGCUUCCCCAGGCUCUUCAUCAUCUGUCCCUCCCACAACUCCAUCCCUGGACAACCACUGGUGUUCUCUGUGUCAUUACAGAUCACUGACAGAAUUUCCUUAUUUUUGCCUUUUUUUUCUUUUUUCUUUCUUUUUCUUUUUUUUUUUUUUUGAGACAGUGUCUUGCUCUGUUGCCCAGGCUGGAGUGCAGUGGCACAAUCAUAGCGCACUGUAGCCUCAGCUUCUCAGGCUUAACUGAUCCUCCCACAUCACCCUCCCAAGUCGCUGGGACCACAGGCACACAUCACCAUGCUCGGCUAAUUGUUUCUAUUUUUUUGUAGAGCUGGGGUCUCACUAUGUUGCCCAGGCUGAUCCUGAACUCCUGGGCUCAAGCGAUCUGCCUGCCUGGGCCUCCCAAAAAGUGCUGGGAUUACAUGCAUGAGCCAGUGUGCCCAGCCUAGGGGUAGAAUUUUCUAGCGAUGGAAUCAUACCUUAUGUACUCCUUUUCUAUCUGCCCUCCUUCACCUUCAUAAUUAUUUUGAAAUUCACUCAUGUUCUUGGGUGUAAUCAAUGAUUCCUUUUUACUGCUGAGUAGUAUUCUCAACUUCAUUGAAUUGUACCCUUUGCAUAUGUGUGAUUUAUUGUAUAUCAACUAUACCUCAGUAAAACUAUACGAAAAAGAUAAGGGGUUCUCUGUUUUUUGUUUUGUUUUGUUUUUGAGAUGGAUUCUCACUCUGUCGCCAGG